ANUCCGAUUGCGAAGGCAGCUUGCUGGACUGUAACUGACGCUGAGGCACGAAAGCGUGGGGAUCAAACAGGAUUAGAUACCNUGGUAGNCCACGCCGUAAACGAUGAAUGCUAGCUGUUAGCGAUAUACUGUUAGCGGCACAGAGAAAUCGUUAAGCAUUCCACCUGGGGAGUACGCCGGCAACGGUGAAACUCAAAGGAAUUGACGGGGGCCCGCACAAGCGGAGGAACAUGUGGUUUAAUUCGAUGAUACGCGAGGAACCUUACCUGGGCUUAAAUUGCAGUGGAAUAACGUGGAAACAUGUUAGCCUUCGGGCCGCUGUGAAGGUGCUGCAUGGUUGUCGUCAGCUCGUGCCGUGAGGUGUCGGCUUAAGUGCCAUAACGAGCGCAACCCUCAUCGAUAGUUACUAACAGGUUAAGCUGAGGACUCUAUCGAGACUGCCGACGUAAGUCGUGAGGAAGGUGGGGAUGACGUCAAAUCAGCACGGCCCUUACGUCCAGGGCUACACACGUGUUACAAUGGGGGGUACAAAGGGCAGCUACCUGGCGACAGGAUGCUAAUCUCAAAAACCUCUCUCAGUUCGGAUUGGAGUCUGCAACCCGACUCCAUGAAGCUGGAUUCGCUAGUAAUCGCGCAUCAGCCACGGCGCGGUGAAUACGUUCCCGGGCCUUGUACACACCGCCCGUCAAGCCAUGGGAGCCGGGGGGACCUGAAGUAUGCAACCGUAAGGAGCGUCCUAGGGUAAAACUGGUGACUGGGGCU
rnacentral:rRNA from 1 species